ACAUUCUCAUAACCGGGUGGAGCAACGGGUGAACCACGGUUAGACGCCUGAAUAACCGUUUCCUGUCUCUGAACCAAAGCACGGAGCUCCUCCUGACCCUGAGCAACCCCUUGCAUCAUCGUCAAAAAUUGGGCCAUGUUCGCCCUCAUCUCAGCUAAUUCAGUCUGAACCUGAUCCAUGCUUCUUCGCUGAUUUAGUCUUGUAGAAUACC
rnacentral:lncRNA from 1 species